rnacentral:rRNA from 1 species
UUUGCUUGCAAACUAAAGAUGGCGACCGGCGCACGGGUGAGUAACACGUAUCCAACCUGCCGAUAACUCGGGGAUAGCCUUUCAAAAGAAAGAUUAAUAUCCGAUAGUAUAUUAAAACCGCAUGGUUUUACUAUUAAAGAAUUUCGGUUAUCGAUGGGGAUGCGUUCCAUUAGUUUGUUGGCGGGGUAACGGCCCACCAAGACUACGAUGGAUAGGGGUUCUGAGAGGAAGGUCCCCCACAUUGGAACUGAGACACGGUCCAAACUCCUACGGGAGGCAGCAGUGAGGAAUAUUGGUCAAUGGACGAGAGUCUGAACCAGCCAAGUAGCGUGAAGGAUGACUGCCCUAUGGGUUGUAAACUUCUUUUAUAUGGGAAUAAAGUAUUCCACGUGUGGGAUUUUGUAUGUACCAUAUGAAUAAGGAUCGGCUAACUCCGUGCCAGCAGCCGCGGUAAUACGGAGGAUCCGAGCGUUAUCCGGAUUUAUUGGGUUUAAAGGGAGCGUAGGUGGAUUGUUAAGUCAGUUGUGAAAGUUUGCGGCUCAACCGUAAAAUUGCAGUUGAAACUGGCAGUCUUGAGUACAGUAGAGGUGGGCGGAAUUCGUGGUGUAGCGGUGAAAUGCUUAGAUAUCACGAAGAACUCCGAUUGCGAAGGCAGCUCACUAGACUGCAACUGACACUGAUGCUCGAAAGUGUGGGUAUC